CAUAGCUAACCUUUAAGCCUGUUUCCAAAGAUACCCUGGGCUAUCACCCCGAGCAGGAUUCUGGGACCACCUCAAGGCCGCGUGGGCUGGAGGUCCGCUGUCAUGUUCCCCAGUUCCUUCUUAUGUCAUCGUUCUCCCGUCCUGUCUCACCAACCGGGGUUAGCCAACUGAGUAGCCUGCCUUUUCCCUAUCACAGAUCUUCCUUUCUGGUCUGCAAGGUGGCACCAUGGGUCCUCCUGGAGGGCUGCCCUGGCUUACGUAGAAUGGGGUUUCCACCUCAGUGGUCCUGUGGGACACUGGACAUCCUGAGGCUCAGGGAGGAGAGGAGGGCUGUUGUCUGGUUUUUGGAGAGGGGGAC
rnacentral:lncRNA from 1 species